rnacentral:tRNA from 1 species
GUGGGUAUCGUCAAGAGGUAAAGACCCAGGGUUGUGGCUCCUGUAUACGUGGGUUCGAAUCCCACUACCCACCCCA